rfam:Oryza glaberrima chromosome 4 Oglab04_0001_8, whole genome shotgun sequence.
AUCCCAUGAUGAGGACAGGCGGCCACAUACUCUUGCAGACGUUCCCACGCUUCAGGAAUAGACUUGUCCCUUGUCUAUUGGAAACUAGAAAUUCGUCCACGAAGGGC